AACGUCUUUUGGACGCUGGA
rnacentral:snRNA from 1 species